AACGAACGCUGGCGGCAUGCCUAACACAUGCAAGUCGAACGAAGCCUUCGGGCUUAGUGGCGCACGGGUGCGUAACGCGUGGGAAUCUGCCCCUUGCUUCGGAAUAACAGUUAGAAAUGACUGCUAAUACCGGAUGAAGUCUUCGGACCAAAGAUUUAUCGGCAAGGGAUGAGCCCGCGUAGGAUUAGGUAGUUGGUGGGGUAAAGGCCUACCAAGCCGACGAUCCUUAGCUGGUCUGAGAGGAUGAUCAGCCACACUGGGACUGAGACACGGCCCAGACUCCUACGGGAGGCAGCAGUGGGGAAUAUUGGACAAUGGACGCAAGUCUGAUCCAGCAAUGCCGCGUGAGUGAUGAAGGCCUUAGGGUUGUAAAGCUCUUUUACCAGGGAUGAUAAUGACAGUACCUGGAGAAUAAGCUCCGGCUAGCUCCGUG
rnacentral:rRNA from 1 species